rnacentral:rRNA from 1 species
GAUGAACGCUAGCUACAGGCUUAACACAUGCAAGUCGAGGGGUAACGAGAGGAAAGCUUGCUUUCCUUGUCGACGACCGGCGCACGGGUGAGUAACGCGUAUCCAACCUGCCCCCAACUAGGGAAUAACCUUGCGAAAGUAAGACUAAUACCCUAUAAUUUCCUCAGAUGUCAUCUGACGAGGAAUAAAGAUUUAUCGGUUGUGGAUGGGGAUGCGUCUGAUUAGCUUGUUGGCGGGGUAACGGCCCACCAAGGCAACGAUCAGUAGGGGUUCUGAGAGGAAGGUCCCCCACAUUGGAACUGAGACACGGUCCAAACUCCUACGGGAGGCGGCAGUGAGAAAUAUUGGUCAAUGGGCGGAAGCCUGAACCAGCCAAGUGGCGUGCAGGAUGACGGCCCUAUGGGUUGUAAAAUGCUUUUAUACAGGAAUAAAGUUAGCCACGUGUGGUUAUUUGUAGGUACUGUAUGAAUAAGGACCGGCUAAUUCCGUGCCAGCCGCCGCGGUAA